GCGAGUGUCUCUGGUGACACGGGCUCCGUCUCCAUCGCGGCCGCCCAUAGCAACCGCUUCGGGAGAUGAUGGUCCGUGCUGUUCAAACCGUGACCAUUCACUCCGGCCACUCGGCAUUAUUUUGAGUGAUACARAGCUGAAUGUAAAGGCAGGAUUAUGUGUUGUGUCUGCAAAUGCUGCUUCAUACAAACCCCUGCUGCAGCCACCUUGCCUCCCUGCUGAUAAAGGUGUGGAUGAAGCCUGCCUGGCUGAGGAGGCCCUCGGGGUCGAGCAGCUGGAAGAAGUUGAGAUAAGUAAUCUGGAAGGUGCUGCUGUCCAGGUGGAAGAGGAGACAGCUGAAGCUGCUGAAACCAAUGCUGAAGCUUCAGAUGCCUUGUCCUUUGCUUGAAGCACCUUGCAGGCUGCUCUCAGCAUGGCCAGGCGGGCCCGGGACGUCGAGCUCGACYGGCUGGUGCAUGACAAGCCGCUGGCUGGCGGGGACCCGUCCCCUCCCGGUGCUCUAGAGCAGCUCCCCAAUGUCCCCAGCUACCGAGCCACCGCUGCCACCCGCUCCACCCCCGUCCCUGUCACCUGCAAGCCAAAGGCUGGAGUUGUCAACCCCAAUUUUUGCACUGAGGAGCAAUCCCCACUAGGAGGUCACCCCACGGUGGAGAUGGAGGAUGUGGACAGCGCAGGCGCUGCGGAGGAGCGCGGUGCCCCUUUGGCAGUGCCCGACCUGCUGGCGGUGCCUGGCGCAGCAUCCCCCAGGUAUGGCUCUGCCCCACCCUCCCCAGAGGGUACCAGGACAGGGACAUUUCAAAAACCAUGUGGAACAACCCAUUUUUCCAGCAG